CAUAAGUAUAUAAAGAAACUAUUAUGGAAUUUAAGCUAUGUAUUAAAGAGAAUUAUUUAUACAAAUAGAGAUUUAAUAUCCUAUAAGUAUAUAAACUCUAAGAGAAAUCUAAUACUAAACGAAGUGAAUUGAAAUAUCUUAGUAACUUCAGGAAAAGAAAUCAAAAGAGAUUCUAUGAAUAGCGUGAGCGAAAGUAGAGUAGCCUAUAAAGUAGAACGGUACUGAAACUGUUUAAACAUAAUGGGGAACCUUCCUCAAAGGCUAAAUAUAAUACAUAAGCGAUAGUGAAAAGUACCAUGAGGGAACAAAAACAAAAAUAGUAGUUUUAUAAGCAGUUCGAUAAAAAGAACGUACCUUUUGCAUAAUGGGUCACCAAGUUAACAUUAGAUGCGAGUUCACGCGUAGUUAAACCGAACGUUAAAAUAACGAAAUAGUGUCUAAAGUUAGACCCGAAGCACGGUGAUUUUACCAUGGUCAGGAUUAUAAAAGUCCGAACGGGUGAUUGUAGCAAAAAUCUCCGAAGAACUGUGGUAGGUGUAGUGAAAGACAACACUGACUGUGAUAGCUGGUUUUCUGCGAAACCUAUAAUAGUAGGCAAUUUAAGUGAAUAUCUUAGCAGGUACAGAAUUUAAUCUCAGACAAGACGUGUAUACGUUUUAUAUUGUACAAAUUGGGGGAUCGUAAAGAUUUUAUCAGUGAGUAUGUAGACUCGGAAUGGCAAAGAUAUGUCUUAAAUUAUCAGACAUAGAAUGAUAAGGUUGUAUGUCGAAAGGGAAACAGCCCAGAACAAGAGUUAAGGUUCCUAAAUUAUUAGUUGAGUGAAAUUAAGAAGGUUUUUAUUAAAGUCGACAAGGAGAUAGGCUUAGAAGCAGCCAUAAUUUUAUGACCUCGUAACAGAGCGCUUGUUAAGUUAUAAAAGCAUCGAAAAUUUAACGGAUCUAAACAAUAUACCGAAACCUUGUCCAUAACAUAUUGUAUUAAUAAGCUUUAAUAUAAUUAAGUGGGGUAGCAGAACGUUGAGCUAGAUUACGAUUUCUAUUUUUUAAAUAGAAUGAUAAUAAUUUAACUCAAGUGAGAAUGGUGACAUGAGUAACUAAAAGAAAAUUUUCCGCCUUAAGCUUAUGGAUAUAAUUAAGUAACGGCCUCUAAGUUUAUAUUAUCUAAAGAUUUAAACGAUGAGAAAAUCUUUUUUACUAAGGACAACAUUUUAGUGUAAAAUGUGCUGGAAAAAUAGUAAAUAUAUUUGUGAGCGCAAGCUUGCAAACGAAGAAUAACCGUACCUAGAAUCUGAAACAAGUAAGCUAGUAGAGAAUACGAAGGCGUAAAUGAGCUAACAAUCAUAAAGGAACUCGGCAAAUUGACUACCGUAACUUCGGAAUAAGGAGGGCUCAUUAUUCCUGAUUAAUAUCAGGUAAAGAGGAAGAAGCAUGAAAUAAUGUUGUACGACUGUUUAAUUAAAACACAGCACUUUGCUGAAAGAUUAAAAAUCUAAGUAUAAAGUGUGAUAUCUGCCCGGUGCCGGCUGGUUAACAGAGAUAAUUGAAUAUACUACUAUUUGAUGUCGACGGAAACCCCGGUUAAAGGCGGCCUUAACGUGAGGGUCCUAAGGUAGCGAAAUGCCUUGGCCGUUAAAUGCGGUCUUGCAUGAAUGGUGUAACGAUACAACAGCUGUCUCUAUGAUUGACUCAGUGAAAUUGGAAUAGCUGUGCAGAUACAGCUUACCUCUAGUUAGACGAGAAGACCCUAUGCAGCUUUACUGUCACUAAUUAUAGAGUAUGAUAGACAAUUUUCAGAUUAUAAGGUAAUUGACAAUAUGACAAUGAGAAUCCUUUAUUUUUCUUUCAUAUGAAUGAAUUGGUUUAGGAUUAUGAGUAAAUUAUAAUUGAUGUGGCUUUACUGAGCUAUUUUUAUACAUUAAUUAUAAUUUUUAAAUUAUUAUAUAGCUCAUUUUAGUAGACCAGCCUAAUUCAACUUAUUAUUAAAUAAUAAUAAGUACCCUUUGGCAAGGAACUAUCGCUAGGGGACAGUUUAUGUGGGGCACAGACCCUGUAAAGAGUAAACAGGAGUGUCUAAAAUUUUAUAAUUAUUUUGUUUGCUAUUUUAAGUAGUUUAACUAUUUUUAAUCAUAUACAAUUAUUUAUAUUUGCAUUGUUGUAAAUAUAUUUAAGUUUAGGUAGGAUUUUCACUAUAUAGAAAUUAGAGAUAAUUGAGAAUAUUAUGAA
rnacentral:rRNA from 1 species